CGCAAGCCUGACGGAGCACGCCGCGUGUGGGAAGAAGGCUCUUGGGCUGUCAACCACUUUUCUCAGGGAAGAAGCCCUGACGGUACCUGAGGAAUCAGCCUCGGCUAACUCCGUGCCAGCAGCCGCGGUAAUACGGAGGAGGCAAGCGUUAUCCGGAAUUAUUGGGCGUAAAGCGUCCGCAGGGGGCAUAUCAAGUCUGCUGUUAAAGGCUGGAGCUUAACUCCGGUAGAGCAGUGGAAACUGGUGUGCUAGAGGGCGACAGGGGUAGAGGGAAUUCCCAGUGUAGCGGUGAAAUGCGUAGAGAUUGGGAAGAACACCGGUGGCGAAAGCGCUCUACUGGGUCGCACCUGACCCUCGGGGACGAAAGCUAAGGUAGCG
rnacentral:rRNA from 1 species